AGAGUUUGAUCCUGGCUCAGGAUGAACGCUGGCGGCGUGCCUAACACAUGCAAGUCGAGCGAUUCUCUUCGGAGAAGAGCGGCGGACGGGUGAGUAACGCGUGGGUAACCUGCCCUGUACACACGGAUAACAUACCGAAAGGUAUGCUAAUACGAGAUAAUAUGCUUUUAUCGCAUGAUAGAAGUAUCAAAGCUUUUGCGGUACAGGAUGGGACCGCGUCUGAUUAGCUAGUUGGUAAGGUAACGGCUUACCAAGGCGACGAUCAGUAGCCGACCUGAGAGGGUGAUCGGCCACAUUGGAACUGAGACACGGUCCAAACUCCUACGGGAGGCAGCAGUGGGGAAUAUUGCACAAUGGGCGAAAGCCUGAUGCAGCAACGCCGCGUGAGCGAUGAAGGCCUUCGGGUCGUAAAGCUCUGUCCUCAAGGAAGAUAAUGACGGUACUUGAGGAGGAAGCCCCGGCUAACUACGUGCCAGCAGCCGCGGUAAUACGUAGGGGGCUAGCGUUAUCCGGAAUUACUGGGCGUAAAGGGUGCGUAGGUGGUUUCUUAAGUCAGAGGUGAAAGGCUACGGCUCAACCGUAGUAAGCCUUUGAAACUGGGAAACUUGAGUGCAGGAGAGGAGAGUGGAAUUCCUAGUGUAGCGGUGAAAUGCGUAGAUAUUAGGAGGAACACCAGUUGCGAAGGCGGCUCUCUGGACUGUAACUGACACUGAGGCACGAAAGCGUGGGGAGCAAACAGGAUUAGAUACCCUGGUAGUCCACGCCGUAAACGAUGAGUACUAGCUGUCGGAGGUUACCCCCUUCGGUGGCGCAGCUAACGCAUUAAGUACUCCGCCUGGGAAGUACGCUCGCAAGAGUGAAACUCAAAGGAAUUGACG
rnacentral:rRNA from 1 species